GGGCCCGUAGCUCAGCUAGGUAGAGCGGCGGGCUUUUAACCCGUAGACCAAAGCGGGCGGAGGUCCCGGGUUCAAAUCCCGGCGGGCCCGCCA
rnacentral:tRNA from 1 species